rnacentral:rRNA from 1 species
GGAGGAAGGUGGGGACGACGUCAAGUCAUCAUGGCCCUUACGGCCAGGGCUACACACGUGCUACAAUGGUGCAUACAGACGGUUGCCAAGCCGCGAGGUGGAGCUAAUCUGAGAAAGUGCAUCGUAGUCCGGAUUGGAGUCUGCAACUCGACUCCAUGAAGUCGGAAUCGCUAGUAAUCGUGAAUCAGAAUGUCACGGUGAAUACCUUCCCGGGCCUUGUACACACCGCCCGU